rnacentral:tRNA from 1 species
GCGAAUGUGGCGGAACUGGCAGACGCGCAGGACUAAGGAUCCUGUGGUAGAAAUACCGUGAGGGUUCGAUUCCCUUCGUUCGCA